rnacentral:rRNA from 1 species
GGGCCCGCACAAGCGGUGGAGCAUGUGGUUUAAUUCGAUGCAACGCGAAGAACCUUACCUACCCUUGAAAUCCUCAGAAUUCUCUAGAGAUAGAGAAGUGCCUUCGGGAACUGAGUGACAGGUGCUGCAUGGCUGUCGUCAGCUCGUGUCGUGAGAUGUUGGGUUAAGUCCCGUAACGAGCGCAACCCCUACUCUUAAUUGCCAGCGGUUCGGCCGGGAACUUUAAGAGAACUGCCGGUGAUAAACCGGAGGAAGGUGGGGAUGAUGUCAAGUCAUCAUGGCCCUUACGGGUAGGGCUACACACGUGCUACAAUGGGCAGUACAGAGGGCUGCCACUCAGCGAUGAGGAGCUAAUCCCUAAAAACCGUCUCAGUUCGGAUUGGUCUCUGCAACUCGGGACCAUGAAGUUGGAAUCGCUAGUAA